CAACCAGCCAAAGCAGCUUCUUCCCAGCUUUUCGGGGACAAGUGGUAGUCACUGCCACAGAAGUGAAGCUUCUUGGCAGAAAUGAAGGGAGCAACCAGGCACUCUCAGUAGGUGUAUUACUCUCUGAUCUGGUAGAAGAAAGUUAGCAAGAAGAAGUAUGGUCUUUCACUACAUCCCUGAAGAUCUGCCUAUAGAUUGUGUGCUUGGAGAUACGAAAAGAGAUUAAAAAUUUGGGAUCUACCAGGUACCCAUUUUAGAGAAUGAAGGACUUCUCACACUUCUACUUUGCUCUUUCCAUAAAUAUAUAAUCUUACAUCUUUUCUUUGAGUAUCUUGAAUGAUCUGGAAGAAAAA